rnacentral:rRNA from 1 species
GAUGAACGCUGGCGGCGUGCUUAACACAUGCAAGUCGAACGAAGCAUUUGCGACAGAUUUUUUCGGAAUGAAGUUGCUUAUGACUGAGUGGCGGACGGGUGAGUAACGCGUGGGUAACCUGCCUUGUACUGGGGGAUAGCAGCUGGAAACGGCUGGUAAUACCGCAUAAGCGCACAAUGUUGCAUGACAUGGUGUGAAAAACUCCGGUGGUAUAAGAUGGACCCGCGUCUGAUUAGCUAGUUGGUGAGAUAACAGCCCACCGAGGCGACGAUCAGUAGCCGACCUGAGAGGGUGACCGGCCACAUUGGGACUGAGACACGGCCCAGACUCCUACGGGAGGCAGCAGUGGGGAAUAUUGCACAAUGGAGGAAACUCUGAUGCAGCGGCGCCGCGUGAGUGAAGAAGUAAUUCGUUAUGUAAAGCUCUAUCAGCAGGGAAGAUAGUGACGGUACCUGACUAAGAAGCUCCGGCUAAAUACGUG